rnacentral:rRNA from 1 species
UGGGGAAUUUUGCACAAUGGGGGAAACCCUGAUGCAGCGACGCCGCGUGAUUUAGAAGGCCUUCGGGUUGUAAAAAUCUUUUCUAUGGGAAGAAAAUGACAGUACCAUAGGAAUAAGGACCGGCUAAUUACGUGCCAGCAGCCGCGGUAAUACGUAAGGUCCGAGCGUUGUCCGGAAUCAUUGGGCGUAAAGGGUACGUAGGCGGGUAAGCAAGUUAGAAGUGAAAUCCUAUAGCUCAACUAUAGUAAGCUUUUAAAACUGCUCAUCUUGAGGUAUGGAAGGGAAAGUGGAAUUCCUAGUGGAGCGGUGAAAUGCGCAGAUAGUAGGAGGAAUACCGGUGGCGAAGGCGACUUUCUGGCCAUAACCUGACGCUGAGGUACGAAAGCGUGGGUAGCAAACAGG